GCUAUAUUAUGAUGAAUAUACCGGUUCUUGUUCUAUCAUCGAAGUCAAGCAUCAUCGGGCGUGGUUAAUACUUGGGAGGGUGACCACCUGGGAAACACCAUGUGC